AACAAACUGAGCGCGCGCUCAUGUCGCAGACGGGACUUUCUUUCCUCCUGCAGAGACUCGGCGCAACUUUGGAGGAACGCAGGACCCGACAGCACGCGCAGGGUUUAGGACGUCUCCCGAGGCCAGUCAUCGUCGCACCGCGUGUUAAACUUUCUCUUUCUGUCUGAUUUCCGUGAUGUUUCUUCCAGCGGACACAGUUCCGUUAACGCGCAGGUUGACGUGUUGGACGCUCUGGACAUUCCUGCUGACGCCGCGGCACGAUGACGACAGGAGUCAGCGAGCGAGGCAGCCCUGCGCUCACACACUGGCCGUCGUUUCCUUACACGGCCGACUCAAUAAAGGAAAUGGAGAUGAGGCAUUCAGACAUCCCCCCUGAACACGGCACACAGGACAGGUGGACUUUCUCCACACCGCUUUCUGACUCCGCACGUAUAAGAACCGACACAAUGCUCACGUUUCCUGACUGCUGCGCUUUUCUUCCACACUCGUCUCAUACAGAAUGUUGAGAGAAGUUUUUUUUUUUUCUUCUUUUCUUUUUCUUUCCCACAUCCUGGAAACAGUCAAUCCGGCUUUUAUUACCGGCCUCGUCAGCGGAGCCGCUUGUACGACGACUCAUUAACAUGCCGCGAGAACGUUACAGCGUUCACAACGCCUCGGCUCUAAGAACGCAGCCGCAGGUUCAUAUGGCUGAGUGCAAAAGUUAGCACACCACAAAACGAAACGUUUUCUCAUAAUGACUUUGAAAA